AAGUGAUAACAGUUUUUUAAUAAACAUAAACUAAAUUAUUUAGUUUUUAGCAAAAAUUUUCUAAUUUUUUCAAAUACUUUAUAUACCUUGAACACCCUUAAAAACUUCAGUUUAUUUCUGUAACACAAAUCUAUUCACCAUGAAAACCUUUUUUGCUAUUGUUGCUGUAGCCAUCAUGAAUGUUUUGGCCUUUGCUUCGGCUGAACCCGUUUUGGAAGCCUUGGCUCCUGUAACUGGACUUGUAGGUGGUUUAACUGGCAAGAAAUAAUUAAGGAUCGCAAUAGCAUGAAAAUUAUGAAAAAGUUUUUUUAAUGUAUUUUUUUUUUCUUUAAACUAAAAUGUAAUUAAAAUAUAAAGAUUAUGAAAAGUUA